rnacentral:tRNA from 1 species
GGCUCCGUAGCGGCCGAUAUGACCGUCGCUGAUUUCCCGUCCGGGCCCGCUAGACCGCCCGAAGAAGCCGCGGGUCACCCUCAAGACGCCCCCGUCUCUCCCCCAAAGCGGGUGUCGCAGGUUCGAAUCCUGUCGGGGCACA